rnacentral:rRNA from 1 species
AUUGAACGCUGGCGGCGUGCCUAAUACAUGCAAGUCGAGCGAAUCAAUAGGAGCUUGCUCCUGUUGGUUAGCGGCGGACGGGUGAGUAACACGUGGGCAACCUGCCUGUAAGACUGGGAUAACACCGGGAAACCGGUGCUAAUACCGGAUAAUCCUUUCCCUCUCAUGAGGGGAAGUUGAAAGUCGGUUUCGGCUGACACUUACAGAUGGGCCCGCGGCGCAUUAGCUAGUUGGUGGGGUAACGGCUCACCAAGGCGACGAUGCGUAGCCGACCUGAGAGGGUGAUCGGCCACACUGGGACUGAGACACGGCCCAGACUCCUACGGGAGGCAGCAGUAGGGAAUCUUCCACAAUGGACGAAAGUCUGAUGGAGCAACGCCGCGUGAGCGAUGAAGGCCUUCGGGUCGUAAAGCUCUGUUGUUAGAGAAGAACAAGUACCGGAGUAACUGCCGGUACCUUGACGGUACCUGACCAGAAAGCCACGGCUAACUACGUGCCAGCCGCCGCUGUAAUAC